GGCUGCUCCAGGCCAAGCCUUUUUCUAAGCACUUUACAUGGAUUAAUGAUUCAGUAUCACAUCCUCAUGAGGGAGAACAGCCCGGGAAGUGAAUGUUCUUUUGCAUGCUGUCUUGAGUGCUAGUUCCUACAAGCGUCUGCACGCUGACUCCUGGAAACCAAGAAUCACCU